GGCGGCCGCGAGGCGCGUCGUCACGCGCCGUGGAGGGUGCUGGGCAGGCGGAGCCCGGGGACUAGAGUAGCGAAAUCGGACCGCCGCCUCCCCAAGUCUCGCGUGAUCACGUGGUUGGCGCCCAGGCGGAAGUUUGCGGCAACUCGUUUGGGAUGAGGCGCUUGCAGACCCUUCCCGGAAAGGCAUCGUGUUGUGCAGUGGAGCGGAGCAACAUUAGGAAACAGAACACACUUCUGAACUGAGUUCACUAAUUAAGCAAACCCAUGUCUAUCUUUUGGAUGUGAGGAAGAUUGUGGCUGAGCUGACAUCUGUGCCAAUCUUCCUCUAUUUUAUGUGGGAUGCUGCCACACUGUGGCUGGACGAGUGAUGCUAGGUCCAUGCCUGGGAUCUGAACCCACGAACCCUGGGCCGCUGAAGCAGAAAACGCAAACUUAACCAGUAUGUCACUGGGCUGGCCCCUAGACUUUCUUGUAAGCUUUUCCCAACUGAGUCUUACUAAACUGAUGUCUUGGGUACUCUUUAAAUUCAUAAUUUUAAAAUCUUGGGAGAGAAUACAUUGAUAUGCAGCUUGUUAUUUGGUAUUUUGAUAGCAAAAGCAAUAGCAAGGUUUUUUUUUUAAACAUUGGGUUUCUGAUAGGCUACCUGCAGGCUUGAAGGAUAAACAUAGCCAGGUUCAGUAUUCCUAAAUUGUUGAUUCUUUCUCCCUUGCCCCACCAUUCAGUCUGGUCACCAAAUGCUUAUAUCCUCCUCUUUGCACUGAGCCUUUCUUUUUCAUUCCAAUUGUCAUUCCCUUAUUAGAGGUGUAUUAAGAGAGUAAAGAGGGAUAAAUUUUGUACUGCCUGGCAAAUCAGGAGAAUUAAACAUUCUUGCAGCAUUCCUGACAGCAAUAACCUCUGAGUUGCAAAGAGAAAAAAAAGCAAUAGUAGAGAGAACUUUCCAGACUGCAGAGACUCAGAGGUAGAAGAGGGAUGGACUUCAAGGGAUCGCAAGAAAGUUUUACUAGAAUAUAGAGUGAAUUUCAGUUGCAUUCAAUUGCACAUUGAUUUAUGCUUGCUGAUUCAUAUUGCUUUUUGUGUACUUUUGCCAGAUACUGAGAAAGCCAAUUCUCUUAGUCAACUAUUGCUUUUUAAUGAGGAGGAUAAACCUAAUAAAUGUAAAAUAUUAAAAGGCAGCACACAAGUGUUAAGGCAGCAGAUGAGAUGUGCAAUAGGGGUUUAGUUCAAAAGGAACUCAAUGUGGGAAGAAAUAACUGGAGACUGUUUCAGUCUCUGAGAUACGUCCCUUCCUCUGCCACCGCUAUCAGGUUAGUCUAGGCUCUCAGGACUUUAUGUCUGUUAGUGAAAAGAGAGGGGAAGAGAAGGGAGGAGAGCAAGAGGGAGAGGAGAAGGAGCCCAGUGAAGAGAAAAAAUGUCAUGACCCUGGGGUUUGCUCUUAACAGGUGGAGAAUAGAUUUUAUCCUGUUCCCUUCUGUUGACCUAGACUGUAUUGUGGGGAGGAAAGUACAAGUGUUUUGACUUUAACUCCUCUUGAAAAUAUUAUCUGU
rnacentral:lncRNA from 1 species